rnacentral:misc_RNA from 1 species
GAUGAAGAACGCAGUGAAAUGCGAUAAGUAAUGUGAAUUGCAGAAUUCAGUGAAUCAUCGAAUCUUUGAACGCACAUUGCGCCCGCCAGUAUUCUGGCGGGCAUGCCUGUCCGAGCGUCAUUUCAACCCUCGAACCCCUCCGGGGGGUCGGCGUUGGGGACCUCGGGAGCCCCUAAGACGGGAUCCCGGCCCCGAAAUACAGUGGCGGUCUCGCCGCAGCCUCUCCUGCGCAGUAGUUUGCACAACACGCACCGGGAGCGCGGCGCGUCCACGUCCGUAAAACACCCAACUUCUGAAAUGUUGACCUCGGAUCAGGUAGGAAUACCCGCUGAACUUAAGCAUAUCAAUAAGCGGAGGA